UACGGAAGGUCCGGGCGUUAUCCGGAUUUAUUGGGUUUAAAGGGAGCGCAGGCUGGAGAUUAAGCGUGACGUGAAAUGCCGCGGCUCAACCGUGGAAGUGCGUCGCGAACUGGUUUCCUUGAGUGUAUUCGACGUCAGCGGAAUUCGUGGUGUAGCGGUGAAAUGCUUAGAUAUCACGAAGAACUCCGAUUGCGAAGGCAGCUGGCGAGGCUAUAACUGACGCUAAAGCUCGAAGGUGCGGGUAUCGAAC
rnacentral:rRNA from 1 species